CUGAGACACGAGAAACGCAAGGCUGCGGGAAUGUCGGCUCCACACAUUUGUUUGCGAAAUCCUUGAUGAAAUGCGAGUCUACGUGAGACUGUGCUAGCUUUAUUUGAGGCAACUCAGAAUCUGAUGGCACUGAUGACGCAGGCAGAAGACUGCAAACAAGAAUCCAAACAUACAGGGGAAGAGUUUGGCGUGCUUACAGAAGCAGGUCUUAUGGAUCCCCAGCCAUUGACACAUAUCUGCUAAGACCCUGGCAUCCCAAACCGACAAACAAACCCCUCCAGCAGGGCUUCUACCACGGUCCCUGCAUCUUGAUCAGGGAUAUUAUUAUUAUUAUUAUUAGUUUAUUUAGCAGAUGCCUUUAUCCAAGGCGACUUACAGAGACUAGGGUGUGCGAACAAUGCAUCAGCUGCAGAGUCACUUACAACUACGUCUCACCUGAAAGACGGAGCACAAGGAGGUUAAGUGACUUGCUCAGGGUCACACAAUGAGUCAGUGGCUGAGGUGUGAUUUGAACCGGGGACCUCCUGGUUACAAGCCCUUUUCUUAAACCACUGGACCACACAGCCUCCUAUAGCGUAGGCUUCUGGCCACUUUGUAAAGUAAUCCAUUGUCACUAGGAUGUAGUGGUUCCCUCGAUCCAAGCGAGGAAGGGGCCCCAGAAUAUCGACUCCCACUUGCUCCAUGGGCCCCCUGACUAAGAAUUGUUGGAGUGGGACUAGCCUGGGGGCCCUUUCCCUGCCAUGCAUUCAUCGCAGCGUCAGCGCCCCCAAUAAAACCCCUGCUGGAUCUGCCGGAGGGUCUUCGUGGCCCAAAGUGUCCUGCAGCCGGGGUGCCGUGGUGGGCUUGAAGCACUCCUGGCUUAAGCGAGUCCGGUACCACUACAUGCCACCUCACCUUCCAGUCCGCCAGCUCUCAUCACUGCCGCUGUAGGUGGCACCCUGUCUGGUCCCCGAUGCAGGCCGGGCUGGCUGGAGACUGAAGACAGGUGGAGCUGGCCGGCCUCUGCAGCAUCACCUGGUUACCCCGGUUUGCCCACUGCAGAAGCCGAGCC